rnacentral:rRNA from 1 species
CCUACGGGGGGCUGCAGUGGGGAAUCUUGCGCAAUGGGCGAAAGCCUGACGCAGCGACGCCGCGUGAGUGAUGAAGGCCUUCGGGUUGUAAAGCUCUGUGGGGAGAGACGAAUAAGUGCGGGCUAAUACUCCGCAUGAUGACGGUAUCUCCUUAGCAAGCACCGGCUAACUCUGUGCCAGCAGCCGCGGUAAGACAGAGGGUGCAAACGUUGUUCGGAAUUACUGGGCGUAAAGCGUGUGUAGGCGGCCAGAAAGCCCUGGGCUCAACCCAGGAAGUGCACUCGAUACUGCAUGGCUUGAGUACCGGAGAGGUUGGUGGAAUUCUCGGUGUAGCGGUGAAAUGCGUAGAUAUUGGGAGGAACACCGGUGGCGAAGGCGGCUUUCCGGACUAGUACUGACGCUGAGGCGCGAAAGCUAGGGGAGCGAACGGGAUUAGAUACCCGUGUAGUC